CUGUACACACGUCACUUAGCCCUAGCUAGGAAGAGGCAGGUUCUGACAGUUUCAGGAGACAUCUGUAAACAAACCUCAGAGUGAUGCCACUCAAGAUCACAGAUGUCUAGCAGAAGUCUCUGACCCUCUAGCCAGUCAUUCUAACAUUGAAAUAUGUGCAGAAGAAACUUAUUUUCAGAGAAUCCAAGGAAAAGCAAUGGUCCAGUCUCUUAGAAGAUGAUAAAUGCUUCCCUUCCUGAAAAUCCAGUGGUCUCUUCUGGUUCCAGAUGAAUUUUAGGAGUGAUUUCUCUAGAUCUAAGAGCUGCCAUGAACUGCGGCCCUGCCACGCCACCCUGCCUUGGAGCCAACUGAGUAUGGACUGAAAUCUCCAAAAACUUAUGUUGGCUAACUUCUUAAGUAGUGUGACCCAGCAGUGAUUACUUAGACCACAAUCUGGAUGCAAGUUGACGUACAGCACUAGACUGUGGAUGUCUGAAGGGGCUCAUGGAAUCUCACUAUCUUUUAGCUCUACCAACCAGGACAAAUGGAUUUCUUCACUGGAAAGAAACAGAGGGAAACAGGAAGAGAGCUCUGCAUGGCUUCUCAUGGCCUUGGCAAUCUGAGAAAGUUGGAGCAGAGAUGCCUGGUUCCUUAGAAUCAGUGUCUGUCACAAAAUCUGGUCAGAAUGGAAACAAAUGAUAUCCUAUUGGAUGCACAUAUUGGAAUUUUGUUAUUUCAAAACUGACUAUAUACUGGUCCAUAAUAAAGAUAAAUAUUGUAGAAUCAAUAUUCUUCUGAUAAACAGUCUUCUGCUUUUCCAACUUAAAAAAUAAAUCUCAGAACAUGGCGGAUAGAUAGCAGCAGCUAUGGAGGCUCUCUGAGAUACCCUGCUUAGAAUCCAGGAAUGCUACAGUACAACAAGUCCUAAGCAAGGGAAAAUACACCCUGCUGACCCAGGAAUGAAGUAAGCUAAGAGAAACCAACUGGAAAUCCAAUCCUGGUGGUAUAACAGGAACAGAUAAAAUCUCAGCACAGAAACUAGAACCCGCGCCACUAGAAGCCGCAAUCUGAAUUUCCUGCUGCUGCUGCUGCGUCCAAAUCUGCAGGGCAGGGAGAGAGAUGUGCGAAAGAUCUAAGAGCAGGAACCUGUGAACAGAAUUGAGAACAGGAUUAACAAGGAGCCCUACAUGGACUUGCAGUGAGUGAGAGGAACGGGAACCCUUUCAUAGAGUAGAAGGCUCCAGCAAAGGACAUACUGGGACCAGGCAGAAUUGCCAGAACAGGACGUUGCAGUGACUUCAGUCACAUAUUCCCCUCUCAAGUGGGAUUGGUGGGGAGUGCUUGGCCUGCGUGACACCACUGACUUAGUCCCAGUAGGUGAGUGCCACAGAGGUCCCAGCGCCUGGAGGUACACACUAGUGGUGAAGCCUUUGGUAGGUUGACCUGGAGGGGUGGGCCCAGCAGAGGCUGUCCAAGUCUGUGUCUCCCUAGUACACUGCAGUGGGUGGGAACACCUAGCUGGCGCAAUUCAAACAAACCGUAACCGAAAAAGAAAAGAAUUGGGCCUCCUACAUUCGAUUGUAUGGAAGGAACAAAAAGUAUGGGAAGAGGAAGGAACAAGAAAGGGUCCUCAGUCCCCAAUCCUGAGGACACUGAUCCAGGAGAGUGAAAUGCAAAGGAAAACAGAAAACAUGCAAUAUCAGGCACAGCACCAAUAGACAUAAAGCGAUAUCUCCAGAGCCUCAUAGACGAGUUUAAAAAUGAAGUAUUUAAUGAAAUAAAGCAAGAGAUAAGUAGAAUAGUUAGAAAAAUGCUAAGCACCACCACCCAAGAAAAAUAGAUGGUAGAAUGGAAGAACAGAAAAAACAAGGAGAAUUGUUUGAUGGAGAAAAUAGAGACAACAUAGAAUAGGUGAAGCAGGUUCAAAGAGAUUACCAGGAAACUAAAAAACUCUAUCGAAAACUGGCAUAACAGCUUGAAAGAAACUAAAGAUAGAUUAUCUGAACUGGAGGGCAGAUUUGUAAUAUGGGAGCAUGAAAUAAAAAACUUCUUAAAAAUAACAAAAAAACAAACAGCAACAAUACAAAGGCUAGAAGAUGAUAGGAUCUAUAACUUAAGAACUAAGAAUAUAAGAGAAGAAGUGGGGACACAAACAAAUGGACUACAAAAGCUAUUCACAGAAAUAAUCCAAGAGAAUUUCCCUAAUUUAGCAAAAGGUAAAGAUACUCAGAUGUAUGAGGCAUACAGGACUCCAGCCACCUACAGCCCAAACAGAGCUACAUCCAUGCAUAUAAUAAUCAAAAUUCUAGAAAUCCAAUAUAAGAACAGAAUACUAAAGCCGUCAGAGACAAGAAACAGAUCACUUACAAGGGAACACCCAUCAGCAUUACAGCAGACUUCUUGGCACAAACCAUCAAAUCACGGAGUGUGGGGGGAAAUAAUUCAAGCUUUGAAAGAUAACCCCCAGCCAAGAUUGAUAUAUCCUGCACAACUGUCCCUAGAAAUUGAUGGAAAAACAAGGUGCUUUCAGGAUAAAGAGGAACUAGGGGAACUUGCAACUACCAAUUCAACUCUACAGAGAAUACUGCAGGAUAUUCUAAAAAAGGAAAAUACCAAGACUUCAGAAACAGUGGCAGAGAGGCCACAAUAAAUGGAGCAGAAAGCAAAAUGAAGAAGAAAAACUGACAACAACCGACAGAAAAAGAGCUCAACAGAAAUGAGGCCGAGAAGAUUGGAUGGUAGGAACAGCUAUUUUGGAGAAAACAAGACAUCAUAAUAGCUAGUGCUGAUUUAAUAUCAUCUUGCUUUGAAGUCCCAUCAAGCUUUUAUUCUUUUGCCUCCAUCAGUCUUAACAGGUUGUAUCUUAUUGGAUUUUAUUAUAUGUGAUAAUAUAAGCAAAAACUUUUAUAGACAAGGAGAUUAUACAAAAACCGUUGCUCAUUUUCUGAUAGUUGGUUCUAAAUACCCUGUAAUACUGUUCUCCUGAAUGGUUUUGCAUUGUCUUGAUAUGUUUGGUGCUACAGUAUACAAAGUUAUACUCAAAGAUUUCAAGGAAAGAGACAUUAUGGUAACUACUUUUAUGUCGGGAUGUCUUGUGGUGAAACACUAUUUUGCCUAAAUGGUUAUGUUUUGAUCUGCACUGUUUUGUUGUUAUGCCCUCUUUUAUCUCAGUCUUCUUUUUUUAAUUAUUUACUUUUUAAUUUUUUUCUUUUUAAUUAAGGGAAAAAUAAAAAAGCAGGAUAUAUUAUUAUAGUAACCCACUUUGAUUUCCUAUUAACUUGAUUUGAAACCCUGUAUAGCCCUCACCAUCUUGCUUUGACUAAUUUUCCUCUAUUCUGCUUUGCUUGAUAGUACCAAGUUCAAAAGUAUAGGCAAAACUGUAAAGACAAUAACAUUCAUUAUGACGCCCAUUGCAGUUGACUGUUAUCUUCUUUUAAAGCCCUGUAAUGUCUCCAAUGUUUUGAUUUUAUUCUUUACUGUUUUGUUCAAUUUUAUUAUAACUGAUGAUAUAGGCAAUUUUUUUAAGAUAGCAAGAGGCAAUAUGGUAACCAUUGUUGAUCACCUAGUAUUUUGUUUUUACAUUAUCUUAUCAUGUUCAUUCUUUUGAUUUGACUGACUCUGUUCUGUUAUGUCACAUUUGGUUUUACUCUCUUCAAAAAAAAGUAAUAAGAACUGUGGGAGUAAUAAAACCCAAAAUGUGUAAUUGUCAUUGUACAAAAGAAAGGAAAAGAAAGUGUUCUAAAGAAUAUAACUGCAUAUAUAUUUAAAUGUAUAAGAUAGAUAACCAUAUUACUGAGUUUUGUUGGAUCAUUGAACAAAACUAUUUCCAGUCUCACUGUUUGAAAGUCCACUUUAUAUGCUUUAAUUUUGUAACUUGCACAACUAUUUCUAAGAUAACAAUAUGUAAUCUAUUAACUAGUGAUUUCCUAUUUUUUAUUUUUUUCUGAAAUUCUGUAUAACUUGUACCCUAUUUCUGGUUUUUUUCUCCUUAAUAAUAAUAAAAGGCAAGAAAAAAAUAAAUCUCAUGUAAAUGAUUCACAUGUCAUAGAAGUCAUAAUGAAAAUUAUGUAUAUGUUCAUUUUUGGCUUCUUUUUACUUAAACCUGUCAUUAAAAAUUCUUU